rnacentral:sRNA from 1 species
AUGGCUGUCGUCAGCUCGUGUCGUGAGAUGUUGGGUUAAGUCCCGUAACGAGCGCAACCCUUAUCCUUAUUUGCCAGCACGUAAUGGUGGGAACUCUAAGGAGACUGCCGGUGACAAACCGGAGGAAGGAGAGGAUGACGUCAAGUCAUCAUGGCCCUUACGGCCUGGGCUACACACGUGCUACAAUGGAAAGUACAGAGGGCCGCAAUGCCGCGAGGUGGAGCAAAUCCCAGAAAACUUUUCGUAGUCCGGAUCGGAGUCUGCAACUCGACUCCGUGAAGUCGGAAUCGCUAGUAAUCGCGAAUCAGCAUGUCGCGGUGAAUACGUUCCCGGGCCUUGUACACACCGCCCGUCACAUCAUGGGAGUGGGUUGCACCAGAAGUAACUAGUUUAACCUUCGGGAGAACGGUUACCACGGUGUGAUUCAUGACUGGGAUGAAGUCGUAACAAGGUAGCCGUAGGGGAACCUGCGGCUGGAUCACCUCCUUAACCUAAAGCAUCUACUGCAAGCACUCACAACCUAUUGUUUGAUUCCACGUCAUUAGCGGCUCGUUAGUUGCUGUUGGCGCCUGUGCAUAGACAUCAGAAGUCAGAAGACUCUGAGAUUGAGAUUAAGUAGUACUCAAGUUGUUCUCAAAAGUCUUCUGACUUCUGGCGCUCUAGCCAGAGAAACUCUGUUGGCAGUCCCAACAGGUGUUCUUUAAAAAAGUGUAUAAGUGAUAAAGCAAUUUUCCUUUGGAAAAUUGUCCCGAGUCAAACCGAGGGACCUCAAUUUGGGGUUGCCAGGAUAAGCUUGCGGGCAACAGACCUAAGGGAAAUAUGUAGUCUGUAACAGAAGAUGUUGUGAUGACAUCAGCUGUUUACAAAAUUUGACAUCCGCAAAUGAGUCAGCGAACGCAAGUUCAAUGACCAGGACAAGACCUUUUGCCAGGUCGAGUCUUGUUAAGAGAUGUUCUUUAAUAUCAGCAGUGUUAAUUCAAACGCGCACUGGUGGUAUUUCAAAGGGAACUGAUCUUCAUUUGUUUUUUUAAAUUCAAGAUCAUGUUGAAGACAAGAAACUUCGGUUUCCAGUCAGAAAAGUGGUCGAGAGUUCGUAUAUUUCAAGCGUAUUAUCCGGUGAUAAACCAAUAGCUUCGAGCAGUCUCUGCUUCACAAAAGGUGAGAGGCAUUUAGUUUCCUGAAUAACACUCCGUUAUCCAGGUCGUUCAAGUUAUAUGGUCAAGCGAAUAAGCGUAUAUGGUGGAUGCCUAGGCAGUUAGAGGCGAUGAAGGACGUUGUAGUCUGCGAUAAGCUCGGGCGAGCUGACAAACAAGCAUUUGUAACCCGAGAUUUCCGAAUGGGGAAACCCGG